UAGGGAAUCUUCGGCAAUGGACGAAAGUCUGACCGAGCAACGCCGCGUGAGUGAAGAAGGUUUUCGGAUCGUAAAACUCUGUUGUUAGAGAAGAACAAGGACGUUAGUAACUGAACGUCCCCUGAAAGUAUCUAACCAGAAAGCCACGUCUAACUACGUGCCAGCAGCUGCGGUAAUACGUCGGUGGCAAGCGUUGUCCGGAUUUAUUGGGCGUAAAGCGAGCGCAGGCGGUUUCUUAAGUCUGAUGUGAAAGCCCCCGGCUCAACCGGGGAGGGUCAUUGGAAACUGGGAGACUUGAGUGCAGAAGAGGAGAGUGAAAUUCCAUGUGUAGCGGUGAAUUGCGUAGAUAUAUGGAGGAACACCAGUGGCGAAGGCGGCUCUCUGGUCUGUAACUGACGCUGAGGCUCGAAAGCGUGGGGAGCAAACAGG
rnacentral:rRNA from 1 species